rnacentral:rRNA from 1 species
CACGUAGGCGGCUUUGUAAGUUAGAGGUGAAAGCCUGGAGCUCAACUCCAGAACUGCCUUUAAGACUGCAUCGCUUGAAUCCAGGAGAGGUGAGUGGAAUUCCGAGUGUAGAGGUGAAAUUCGUAGAUAUUCGGAAGAACACCAGUGGCGAAGGCGGCUCACUGGACUGGUAUUGACGCUGAGGUGCGAAAGCGUGGGGAGCAAACA